CCAAAGAAAAAAAACCACGAUCUAAACCCAUUUCGGUCUCCUUCUUCGUACAGCACUUGAUCAGAAUCAUUCAACCCAUUGUCGACAGCUUUGUUAAUGGCGUGACAUUUAUCUCUACGAAGGGUUCCCAGUUCCAGAUUGUUGGUCUCCUUCUUAGGUUAUGCACCUUCCACUUCACAGUCAGGUUAUGCACAUUCCACUUCACAGCCAGGUUUUACACACUUUGAUAAUGAUUAUGGACAAAAUAUGACAUUCACAAGUCUAUUGAGCCAGGCUUCCAGCUACAAUUAUCCCGAAUUUGGUGUAGGAUUGAUGGGAAUUGAUAUGGAGCGUUGAUAUGGAGCUUUGUGUAUUGUUUAUAUGGAAUGUAGAGAUUUCUGAUAUGUUUAUAUUAUCUGUGUAGUUCACAACGAAAUGAAUGACACAUUUUGUUGAUCUAUUUUGUACGAUGUUGAACAUUAAUAGCAUCAGGGAAAUGAUUAUUUUGG